GUAUGUUAUGAAAACUUCAUUUCAUAGAGUGAGGGUUGCCCGGUAUUGGUGACGUUGAAGCCUUGGUCUCAUGCAAUAGAACCUACGAACCGUGUCAGGUCGGGAACGAAGCAGCACUAAGUAGAACAUUCUAUGUGCCAUGAGGUGGCCUGGGUGGAGUCACCUUUACCGGGCAGCUCUUACAAUUUGCAUAA
rnacentral:SRP_RNA from 1 species